CAGCAGCCGCGGGAAUACGUAGGGUCCGAGCGUUGUCCGGAAUUAUUGGGCGUAAAGGGCUCGUAGGCGGUUUGUUGCGUCGGGAGUGAAAACCUACAGCUUAACUGUGGGCUUGCUUUCGAUACGGGCAGACUUGAGGCAUUCAGGGGAGAACGGAAUUCCUGGUGUAGCGGUGAAAUGCGCAGAUAUCAGGAGGAACACCGGUGGCGAAGGCGGUUCUCUGGGAAUGUUCUGACGCUGAGGAGCGAAAGUGUGGGGAGCGAACAGGAUUAGAUACCCCAGUAGUCCCUGUCUCUUAUAA
rnacentral:rRNA from 1 species